ensembl:miRNA
GUGAGGACCAGGCAGCCCUGUACUGUCCCCUGCCAGCUGUCAGAAGACCCGAGUGCUGUGCGGCUCUAGGGCAUUCUCGAUGCUACUGACCCGCGGCUGGGCUGGGCUUGCAGGAACUCUGGAAG